rnacentral:rRNA from 1 species
UAAAGGGGAUGCAAGUGUUAUCCGGAAUUAUUGGGCGUAAAGCGUCUGUAGGUUGAUAUUUAAGUCUUUUGUUAAAACUUUGAGCUUAACUCAAAAACAGCAAAAGAAACUAUUUAUCUUGAGUAUGGUAGAGGUAAAGGGAAUUUCCAGUGGAGCGGUGAAAUGCGUAGAUAUUGGAAAGAACACCAACAGCGAAGGCACUUUACUGGGCCAGUACUGACACUGAGAGACGAAAGCUAGGGUAGCAAACGGG